GAUCAUGGCUCGGGAUGAACGCUGGCGGCGCACUUAAGACAUGCAAGUCGAACGGACUUAACUGAAAUAUUUAUAUUUUGGAGCGGUUAGUGGCGGACUGGUGAGUAACGCGUAAGCAAUCUGCCUAUUAGAGGGGAAUAACAGUGAGAAAUCACUGCUAAUACCGCAUAUGCCAUGAACAUCGCAUGGUGAAAAUGGGAAAAGGAGUAAUCCGCUAAUAG
rnacentral:rRNA from 1 species